ensembl:misc_RNA
ACCCAGCCCUGCUGCUCUGUGUACCCCCGGUUCAUCUGCCACCCCCUGCCCUAGGUCCCUCCCUCUUUACUUCUCUGGUGGCCCGCUGAUAGACACCAG